UACGUAGGGUGCAAGCGUUGUCCGGAAUUAUUGGGCGUAAAGAGCUCGUAGGCGGUUUGUCGCGUCUGCUGUGAAAACUCGGGGCUUAACUCUGGGCCUGCAGUGGGUACGGGCAGACUAGAGUGCGGUAGGGGAGACUGGAAUUCCUGGUGUAGCGGUGAAAUGCGCAGAUAUCAGGAGGAACACCGGUGGCGAAGGCGGUUCUCUGGGCAUUACCUGACGCUGAGGAGCGAAAGUGUGGGGAGCGAACAGG
rnacentral:rRNA from 1 species